rnacentral:misc_RNA from 1 species
UCCGAUUUGUCACCGGCAGUCUCCUAUGAGUCCCCGUCAUUACACGCUGGCAACAUAGGACAGGGGUUGCGCUCGUUGCGGCACUUAAGCCAACACCUCACGGCACGAGCUGACGACAGCCAUGCAGCACCUGUGCUGGCUCCUUACGGAGCCCUGCUUUCACAGGGUUUAACCAGCAUGUCAAGCCCAGGUAAGGUUCUUCGCGUUGCAUCGAAUUAAGCCACAUGCUCCGCCGCUUGUGCGGGUCCCCGUCAAUUCCUUUGAGUUUCGGUCUUGCGAUCGUACUCCCCAGGCGGAUAACUUAAUGCGUUAGCUUCGGCGCUGGGGGGGUCAAUUCCCUCAACACCUAGUUAUCAUCGUUUACAGCGUGGACUAC